UUUCCGUAGGUGAACUUGCGGAAGGAUCAUUA
rnacentral:rRNA from 3 species